rnacentral:lncRNA from 1 species
CCCAUUCGGUGAUAAAGCUGAACCUCAAGGAUAGCUUUACUCAAACAGAAACCAUGUUAGCCUUUUCGAUCGCAUUUUGAACCUACAAAAUAAUCUCGAUUCACAGGAUCAUCAGUCAUCUUAGUAGCAAUAAUAGCACUACCAGCCAAAAUAAAUAAGUGUUGCAACGCGUACCAUAUUGGUGUCAUUUAACUAAUAAACAUGUAAGAAAGUAAGAAGAUAAAUGAUAAUACUCAUAAGUUAGAUAAACAUUCCAGCAUCGCGUGAGUCAGUGAUUAUUUACACAUUCAUGUUCAUGUAAUCAUGAAUGCGUUCAUGUGGGAUGUAAUGGUCGUUCGUUCAUUUUAAAUCAGUUUCUAUCUGGGCAAAUUCUAGAAUUUACAUUGCCACCAGAGAAUGCAAUUAGAUGCAAAAAGUCAAAAAAAAAGAAACUAGCUACGUUUACUUCAUCUACAAAAAAUAUAGAGAAAAAAUAUGAGUAGACUUCUAAACGAACUCACAAAAAUCAUUUCUUCAUUCUCAUCAUUGUCAUCCUCUGCUUCAUCCAGACCACCCUCGGAUGUAAGCACAUUCUUAUUGAUCUCCAUCUCUUCCUCCGCAGCGAGGGAUGCGGCCAAUCUUGAUGCGACAGAACAAUGUAUUAGACAUUAGUAACAUAGCAAAAGGAUUGUUUUGGGUCGUGACGGAGAAAGAAGAAGAGCGAAAACUACGGACAUGACAUUGCUCACAGCUCAUCUAGGUUUUCCUGGGAAGAAACCCCUGAUUCCAUAUCACCACGAGGUAGAACGCUGCUUCCUUCAGCCCUAAUUUCAACAAUCGAAUCCAACACCUUUUUCCCCUUUGUGUCCUCGUCCGUAAUCUGCAUCUCCUUCGAUCCUUCCUUGUGCUUCUUGAUCUCGGUUGCCAAUUCUUCGAGCCUCUUCGCCUUGAGCUAUAUAAGUCAAUGCAUACAAUCAGACAACUGAAAAGAGGACGGAGGG